rnacentral:rRNA from 1 species
UGGACCCUACGGGAGGCAGCAGUGAGGAAUAUUGGUCAAUGGGCGGGAGCCUGAACCAGCCAAGCCGCGUGAGGGAAGAAGGUACAGCGUAUCGUAAACCUCUUUUGUCAGGGAACAAAGGCGGGGACGUGUCCCCGGAUGAGUGUACCUGAAGAAAAAGCAUCGGCUAACUCCGUGCCAGCAGCCGCGGUAAUACGGAGGAUGCGAGCGUUAUCCGGAUUUAUUGGGUUUAAAGGGUGCGCAGGCGGUCUGUUAAGUCAGCGGUCAAAGCCCGGGGCUCAACCCCGGCCCGCCGUUGAAACUGG